GAAAUGCGAUAAGUAAUGUGAAUUGCAGAAUUCAGUGAAUCAUCGAAUCUUUGAACGCACCUUGCGCUCCUUGGUAUUCCUUGGAGCAUGCCUGUUUGAGUAUCAUGAAAUCUUCAAAGUAAAUCUUUUGUUAACUCAAUUGGUUUCUAAUUUGGUAUUGGAGGUCUUUGCAGCUUCACACCUGCUCCUCUUUGUUCAUUAGCUGGAUCUCAGUGUUAUGCUUGGUUCCACUCGGCGUGAUAAGUUAUCUAUCGCUGAGGACACUGUAAAAGGUGGCCAAGGUAAAUGCAGAUUAACCGCUUCUAAUAGUCCAUUGACUUGGACAAUACUUUUAUGAUCUGAUCUCAAAUCAGGUAGGACUACCCGCUGAACUUAAGC
rnacentral:misc_RNA from 1 species